GCAUUAAUGGGGUAGUGGUAACCUGGGUCGUUGCCAUUGGCAGGUUGUAACUAAUUUGUCGACCCGCCGGGGGUUCGAUACCCCCUUAAUGCA